UGGGGAAUAUUGCACAAUGGGCGCAAGCCUGAUGCAGCCAUGCCGCGUGUAUGAAGAAGGCCUUCGGGUUGUAAAGUACUUUCAGUCGGGAGGAAGGUGGUAAGGUUAAUAACCUUAUCAAUUGACGUUACCGACAGAAGAAGCACCGGCUAACUCCGUGCCAGCAGCCGCGGUAAUACGGAGGGUGCAAGCGUUAAUCGGAAUUACUGGGCGUAAAGCACACGCAGGCGGUUGAUUGAGUCAGAUGUGAAAUCCCCGGGCUUAACCCGGGAAUUGCAUCUGAUACUGGUCAGCUAGAGUCUUGUAGAGGGGGGUAGAAUUCCAUGUGUAGCGGUGAAAUGCGUAGAGAUGUGGAGGAAUACCGGUGGCGAAGGCGGCCCCCUGGACGAAGACUGACGCUCAGGUGCGAAAGCGUGGGGAGCAAACAGG
rnacentral:rRNA from 1 species